GUGGAAGAUAUUUGGAUUGACCCUGAUUAUGAGAGACUGCGUCCCCAGGAAAAGGUCCAAAAUUCUUCAUUGCAGCUGGCCUCGCCUCCAAGAAAACUCAAUUCUACUGAGAGGAAGAUCCAACCAAAGGGAGAAAAGGUGAGCAGAGCCAAGAAAAUGGUAGUGUUGUGGAUGAGGAAAAACUCUGGAUAUUCUUUCUGUAAUCCAGGUACUCAUCCUCUGUCAAUGAGGUAUAAACCUUCCAUUAGGAUAUGAAAGUCUAGAGUUCUAUAACCAAGCAUACCCCUCAACUUGCUGCUUACCAUCCAACCCUACCUAUUUUCUGACAAAAGCCAGGUUUCUCUUAACAGUCUCAUUCACUGAGACAAAGAUCACUAUUUUCAAGAUUCAAGAAGCACCCUAAUUGACCUUGGCCCUGAAAUAUAGCCUCUCUUGUUUGAGGUUGGAUUGCUUAUUUGCUUAUUUUGUUUGCUAUAUUGCUUAUUUGCUCAAUUGGUUGUUUUAGAACUGGAAUCCAAAGGGAAAAUGGCUGCAUACUCUGCUCUUUUCCUACUAGCUCAGUGAGGAAGUAAAGAAAACAAGGCAAGACAGCCACUUCCCCAAAAUCACUGCAGUUUUCUUUGAAAGAGUCUUUAGAAUACAUCAAAGGGAUUGAUGAGAACAAAUCAAGAAUAAAGUAUGGGAGGCUGGUUCAGGGUGAUAGUUCUGAGUAGUCCCAAGUGGCAAAUCAUUCCAGAUGUCUGGAGGUUUGUCUUUUGCCUGAUAAAUACUAGAAUUAUAGAUUAAAUGAGCCCAAGGAUUGGAAUUAGACCCUCUUGAAUAAGAUGCAGUAUUAUCCAUUGCAACAGGGCUCACCUACAAGAAAGCCCAGUGAUUCUGAGAAGGUGGAAAAACAGCCAGAAGAGAAGAGAAGAUUGAAUGAACUGGAGGAUGAGAAUCAGUGUCUUCGAGAUAAGGUCGAAUAUUAUUCAUCACAAAUGGAUUCAGCCACGAUCAAGCUCUAUACUGCUGAGAAGCUCCAACAGCAAGCUGAAAAGGAAAAGGAAAGAUUAAAUAAGCUGGAGAAUGAGAAUCAGAAUCUCCGGGAUAAAAUGGAGUAUUAUUCAUUAAAACUUGACUCGGCUUCAAGAAAGCUCAGUGCUGCUGAGAAGAUGAUGCUACAGCAGGCAGAAAAGGUGAGCAGACCCAAGAGCAUCACAAUGAAGGGAAAGGUGACAGCACUAAACAGUCUUUCUGUAAUCUAAUUAUCCAUUCUUUGUCACAAAAGUAUCAGUCAGCAAUAAGAAAUUAAUGCCCCAAAUCCUAUGAACAUAUUCAUUCCUAGGCUUGCUAAUCAGCAUCCAACACUACCUAUCCUAUCAAAGCCAGGGUUCACUCUCCUGUCACACUCACUGGGGCAAAAGCCACUUCUUUCUCCAUGUUGGGAGAGUGUUUUAAAAUACAGGCCCCCAAAAUAGAAACCCCAAACCACCUGGACCUUGGCAUCACCUUUUCCAAACUCCUUGAGAUUGACUAAUUGGUUGGUUGAUUUGUUGUUUUAGAGCUGAAAAUCAGGGGAUAAAUGGGUGGGAAUGGAGGACAGGAAGCUACUAAUCCUUGUCCUUAGUAUGAAUGUAAGGAAACAAGAAAAAAGAAAGCCAAGGUAGUUUUCCAAAAAAAUUUACCCAAAUGUCUUUUAUAAAGAGUUUGUAUAAGAGGUUUAAGAGAUUGAUGGGAAUAGGCCAAGACAUCCAGACUGAAGUGUGGGACUAUGGCUCAGGGCUAAAAGUGAAAGCAUUUCAGGUGUCAAGUAAUUCCUGAUGGCUUGGGCUUUGUUCUGUGAGGAAUAGGAGAAAGAAAGAUUGAAUGAGCUGGAGAGAGAGAACCAGAAACUCCGGGAUAAAAUGCAAUAUUAUUCAACACAAUUGGAAUCAGCUACAGUCAGGCUCCAUGAAGCUGAGAAGAAGAUUCGACAAGCACAAAAGAAGAAGGAUGGACUGAAAGAGUUGGAAAAUGAGAAACUGGGUCCCUGGGAGAAGGCAAAAUAUUUUUCAUUUCACAUGGAUGCAUUUACAAGCAGGGUCAGAGCAACUGAGAAGGUACAACUACUGGCCGAAAAGAGGAAGGACAAAUUGAAGGAGCUGGAGUGUGAGAACCAGAAUCUCCGGGAUAGGAUGCAAUAUUAUUCAUGGCAACUGAACUCAACUACAGUCCAACUCUGUGCUGCUGAGAAGAUCCUUCAGCAGGAAGAAAAGGUCAGAAGUUCUAAAAGCACAACAGUGGUGAUAAAGGGGGACAACUCUGAACAAUCAUUCUGUAGUCUAGCCCAUCCUUUGUCCUAG
ensembl:lncRNA